UACAGAGGGUGCAAGCGUUGUUCGGAAUUAUUGGGCGUAAAGCGCGUGUAGGCGGCUUUGCAAGUCGGGUGUGAAAGCCCUCGGCUCAACCGAGGAAGUGCGCCCGAAACUGCAGAGCUUGAGUACCGGAGAGGAUGGCGGAAUUCCCCAAGUAGAGGUGAAAUUCGUAGAUAUGGGGAGGAACACCGGUGGCGAAGGCGGCCAUCUGGACGGAUACUGACGCUGAUGCACGAAAGCUAGGGGAGCAAACAGG
rnacentral:rRNA from 1 species